rnacentral:rRNA from 1 species
UUAGUUGCCAUCAUUCAGUUGGGCACUCUAGCGAGACGUGCCGGUAAUAAACCGGAGGAAGGUGGGGAUGACGUCAAAUCAUCAUGCCCCUUAUGACCUGGGCUACACACGUGCUACAAUGGUUGGUACAACGAGUUGCGAGUCGGUGACGGCGAGCUAAUCUCUUAAAGCCAAUCUCAGUUCGGAUUGUAGGCUGCAACUCGCCUACAUGAAGUCGGAAUCGCUAGUAAUCGCGGAUCAGCACGCCGCGGUGAAUACGUUCCCGGGCCUU